rnacentral:lncRNA from 1 species
GCUUCUUUUAUUAUUAGUAUUAUUCAUGCGCUGGUAGGAAAGGAAGAAUAUUGAACCGUAAUUAGGAGCUGGUAAAAUGCUACUGGAACAAACUUGAAAAGAAGCACAGGAAGCAGGCGUGUUAAAACAUUGGUAGCUCUGCUGAGAUUUAUCUUCAUUCAGGACCUGCAACUUCUCUCAGGUGUCCAGGCAGCCUCCUUUUAA